rnacentral:rRNA from 1 species
GACGAACGCUGGCGGCGUGCUUAACACAUGCAAGUCGAAAGAAGUGGCGAACGGGUGAGUAACGCGUAAUCAACCUGCCCUUCAGAGGGGGACAACCGUUGGAAACGACUGCUAAUACCGCAUCCUGAAGGCGGGGAUUUCGUCUGAUUAGCCAGUUGGAUGGGUACCGGCCCACCAAGGCGAUGAUCAGAAGCCGGUCUGAGAGGAUGAACGGCAACAUUGGGACGUAGACACGGCCCAGACUCCUACGGGAUGCAGCAGGGGGGAAUCUUCCGCAAUGGACGAAAGUCUGACGGAGCAACGCCGCGUGAGUGAUGACGGCCUUCGGGUUGUAAAGCUCUGUUAAUCGGGACGCGGUACCGGAAUAGAAAGCCACGGCUAACUACGUGCCAGCCGCCGCGGUAAUAC